rnacentral:rRNA from 1 species
GAUGAACGCUGGCGGUAUGCUUAACACAUGCCAGUCGUACGGACUCUUCGGAGUUAGUGGCGGACGGGUGAGUAACGCGUGAGAAUCUGGCUUUGGGUUCGGGACAACCACUGGAAACGGUGGCUAAUACCGGAUGUGCCGAGAGGUAAAAGAGAAAUUGCCUGAAGAUGAGCUCGCGUCUGAUUAGCUAGUUGGUGAGGUAAAGGCUCACCAAGGCAGCGAUCAGUAGCUGGUCUGAGAGGAUGACCAGCCACACUGGGACUGAGACACGGCCCAGACUCCUACGGGAGGCAGCAGUGGGGAAUUUUCCGCAAUGGGCGAAAGCCUGACGGAGCAAUACCGCGUGAGGGAAGAAGGCUCUUGGGUUGUAAACCUCUUUUCUUAGGGAAGAACAAAAUGACGGUACCUAAGGAAUCAGCAUCGGCUAACUCCGUG